rnacentral:rRNA from 1 species
UACGGGAGGCAGCAGUGGGGAAUCUUGCGCAAUGGGCGAAAGCCUGACGCAGCGACGCCGCGUGAGGGAGGAAGGCCUUCGGGUUGUAAAGUACUUUCAGUCGUGAGGAAGGUGUUAAGGUUAAUAACCUUAGCAAUUGACGUUAGCGACAGAAGAAGCACCGGCUAACUCCGUGCCAGCAGCCGCGGUAAUACGGAGGGUGCGAGCGUUAAUCGGAAUUACUGGGCGUAAAGGGCACGCAGGCGGUUAAUUAAGUUGGAUGUGAAAUCCCCGGGCUUAACCUGGGAAUGGCAUUCAAGACUGGUUAGCUAGAGUCUUGUAGAGGGGGGUUAGAAUUCCAUGUGUAGCGGUGAAAUGCGUAGAGAUGUGGAGGAAUACCGGUGGCGAAGGCGGCCCCUGGACAAAGACUGACGCUCAUGUGCGAAAGCGUGGGGAGCAAACAGGGAUUAGAUACCCG